GCUGCCUGACAAAACCCAGGCUCAGUGUGAUCACAGAAAGCCUGAUAACUGGCAGAUGGUUUUGAAACAUCAGAAAUAAAACAAUGUUUUUCACCACCAAUAACCAAGGUUAUGUUGAGAUUGCUAGUUUGCCUGCAGUAAGUGCGUAGGCUGGGGUUGGCAAGAGGCUGGGAGGGGGCCCAGCUGGGACAGCUGACUUCAACUGGCCAAAGCGAUAUUCCACACCACAUAACUUCAUGCCCACAAUAAGAUGAGGAGUUUUUCCAGAGUAGUCAGAGCUUGAUCCACUGGUGAUUCUGUUCCCCAUCCCACUGGGAGGGGCAGUGAGCGAGCCAGUGGGUAGAAGCUUACCCACUGG